rnacentral:rRNA from 1 species
CAAGGAAUUUUGCGCAAUGGGCGGAAGCCUGACGCAGCAACGCCGCGUGAGGGAAGAAGGCCUUCGGGUUGUAAACCUCUUUUCUCAGGGGAGAAAAAUGACGGCACCUGAGGAAUAAGUCACGGCUAACUACGUGCCAGCAGCCGCGGUAAUACGUAGGUGGCAAGCGUUAUCCGGAUUCACUGGGCGUAAAGAGCGCGUAGGUGGUUCUUCAAGUCAGAUGUUAAAUCUCCCGGCCUAACUGGGAGCGGUCAUCUGAUACUGCUGGACUUGAGGGCGGUAGAGGGAGGUGGAAUUCCCGGUGUAGUGGUGAAAUGCGUAGAUAUCGGGAGGAACACCAGUGGCGAAAGCGGCCUCCUAGGCCGUUCCUGACACUGAGGCGCGAAAGCGUGGGGAGCGAACAGGAUCAGAUACCCUGGUAGUCCACGCCCUAAACUGUGGAAACUAGGUACAGGGAGUAUCGACCCUUCCUGCGCCGUAGCUAACGCGUUAAGUUUCCCGCCUGGGGACUACGGUCGCAAGACUA